CCGAUCAAGCAAGAAAUUGCUCAGCGGAAGUGGAAGUGGAUAGGACACACCCUCCGAAGACCAGAGGACAGCGCCGCCAGGGUCGCGUUCACGUGGAGGCCGCGCGGGAGUAGGAGACGGGGCCGGCCGGCGCACACGUGGCAGCGGACUAUCGACGCCGAGCUGCGAGCGGCCGGGCUUAGUUGGAGGGACGUGGAGCGAGAGGCACAGGACAGGAGCGGAUGGAGACGUCUCACGAGGGCCCUUUGUACCACUGGGGUACCUUAGGACAGCAACAAUAACGUAGGAAUAUUAUGU